UUGACUAAUUCGACCUCAAAUCAGGCAGGACUACCCGCUGAACUUAA
rnacentral:rRNA from 1 species